rnacentral:rRNA from 1 species
CAGUAGCCGCGGGAAUACGUAGGGUGAAAGCGUUAAUCGGAAUUACUGGGCGUAAAGCGUGCGCAGGCGGUUAUAUAAGACAGAUGUGAAAUCCCCGGGCUCAACCUGGGAACUGCAUUUGUGACUGUAUAGCUAGAGUACGGCAGAGGGGGAUGGAAUUCCGCGUGUAGCAGUGAAAUGCGUAGAUAUGCGGAGGAACACCGAUGGCGAAGGCAAUCCCCUGGGCCUGUACUGACGCUCAUGCACGAAAGCGUGGGGAGCAAACAGGAUUAGAUACCCGCGUAGUCCCUGUCUCUUAUAC